rnacentral:lncRNA from 1 species
CAAUAUUAGAUCAGAAACGAAAUAAUGAAGUAAGUCGUAAAAUUUAAUCGCAUUACUGAUUUAGAGGUACUGUUAAAAAAACAUGUAAACUAAUUAUGUGUCUUUAAGAUUAUGCCCCGAGCUGAGAGACAAGUUCUAAUUAAUUUUAUGUUAUUAGGAUUAACAAUAGCAAUCAAUUUACUGGACAAUUGAUUUGUCAAAUUAAUUACCAC